rnacentral:rRNA from 1 species
UGGGGAAUAUUGCACAAUGGGCGCAAGCCUGAUGCAGCCAUGCCGCGUGUAUGAAGAAGGCCUUCGGGUUGUAAAGUACUUUCAGCGGGGACGAAGGUGUUGUGGUUAAUAACCUCAGCAAUUGACGUUACCCGCAGAAGAAGCACCGGCUAACUCCGUGCCAGCAGCCGCGGUAAUACGGAGGGUGCAAGCGUUAAUCGGAAUUACUGGGCGUAAAGCGCACGCAGGCGGUCUGUCAAGUCGGAUGUGAAAUCCCCGGGCUCAACCUGGGAACUGCAUCCGAAACUGGCAGGCUUGAGUCUUGUAGAGGGGGGUAGAAUUCCAGGUGUAGCGGUGAAAUGCGUAGAGAUCUGGAGGAAUACCGGUGGCGAAGGCGGCCCCCUGGACAAAGACUGACGCUCAGGUGCGAAAGCGUGGGGAGCAAACA